rnacentral:tRNA from 1 species
UAGUAGCUCAGUCGGAUAGAGCAGCUGCCUUCUAAGCAGCCGGCCGGGGGUUCGAAUCCCUCCUGGC